GACGAACGCUGGCGGCGUGCUUAACACAUGCAAGUCGAACGGAAAGGCCCUGCUUUUGUGGGGUGCUCGAGUGGCGAACGGGUGAGUAACACGUGAGUAACCUGCCCUUGACUUUGGGAUAACUUCAGGAAACUGGGGCUAAUACCGGAUAGGAGCUCCUGCUGCAUGGUGGGGGUUGGAAAGUUUCGGCGGUUGGGGAUGGACUCGCGGCUUAUCAGCUUGUUGGUGGGGUAGUGGCUUACCAAGGCUUUGACGGGUAGCCGGCCUGGGAGGGUGACCGGCACCUUGGGGCCUGAGGGACGCCCCGGUCUCCACGGGGGGGCAGCGGGGGGAAUUCUGGCCCAGGGGGGGGGCGCCUGUGACGGCGACCCCGGGUGGGGAAUGCGGGCCUUCGGUUUAGAAACGGCUUUCCCUUGUGACGAGGCGGGGGGGACGGUACGGGGUAAAGAAGCACCGGCUAACUCCGUG
rnacentral:rRNA from 1 species